CUAACACCCAUGGUCUAUUGGUGCUGAUCUAGAAAAAAGUGCAUUCUUACGUAUGUUCUUUUGCACAUAAAGUGCUACCUUAUGUUCCUGAUAAAGGAAAGAAAACAUCAAAUAUCCUCUCCAUUGAUACAGGCUUUGAACGCUCACACAGCAGCUAUAACCAGGACCAAGGACAGCUGUCAUGACAACCUUGGAGAUAACCUUCACUCCUGCUGAGACAUGGUGUCUGCCACCACACCUGGGAGCCUGGGAGCCACCCACCCACCUUCACCUCUUGCUGGCCAAAAAUCCUCAUUACCAUGUUGUCAGCAAUCCGGUCUGUUAACCCCUUGAGUGCCGGGCUAUUAGACUGGAUGGCUCUCACUCUUCAAUGAUUGAGAAAUGGGUAGGCAUUUGUCCAAGAUGAAGCCCAAGGUGAGUUCAAGAUAAAGAUAUUUUUUAAAAUGCAUUUCAUUUUUUUAAAAACUGUUUUUUUGCUUCCAUUUCAAACUAUUAUAUUUUCCCCCACUUUAAAAAUUGUAAUUUGGGUCGAUGAACAAUUACCCAAAGAUAUGAAUCUGAGACUGUGUAGUGUACCAGCUGCCCUUCCAUCCCCCCAGACUGUCACCAAAGCAGCAGCUGACAGUGUCCACCCAACCCCAGGGAAGAUUAAACAUGUCACCACAGCAUUGUUAUUUACCAUGACACCAUUUAGCCAUGGCAAUUAGCAUGGACAUAGCACCAAGAAGAAACCAGGCCAGGCUGAACAGACUGUGGUCAAAAGUCCUAAAAUGAAAUGGCUCUGCUCCAUUUUCCUUUCUGCUCCAUUUGUGAUUUCCAGGAGAGAGGUGGUUUGGGCAGCCCUACCAUGGAGUGAGCAGCAUCCCAGCCAACACCCUGUGUCUUCCAGACCGGAAAGCCUCAGAUGAGGGCUGGGAAAUCCCCGGACUGGAGACUCUGAAGAGCUAGAUGACUUCUGCCUCUGUCAUAACCCAGUCUGCGCCCUCUGAGCGUAUGAUCCAGCCUCUCAGAUGGCUACAUAUGUAGCAGAGAAUGUGCAGGAGCCAGAAGAUUGUGACAGAAUCCCUAUAACUGGAGUUACAGAAAGACGUGAGCCACCAUGAGAGUGCUGGAAACUUGGCCACCAUCUUCUAGAGAAGAAACUCAUGAAAUGAGAAUUAAAGGGAAAUAUCCUGGCAGCAGUAAAUACUAUUGAUAAUUUUUAAAAAUACAUUUGAAUAUAUGUUCUCAUGUUAUAAACAUUAUCAACUUUGUUACCAUACUUACGUGAAUAUAGUGUUCUAUCAAAUAGUUAUAAAAUCUUCAUUGUAAUAAAUCCAGGUAAAACUCAAGGGUACCACAAUGUUGCUAAUUUUAAAAUAAAUCUUACUUGUAUCUUUCUAAUUGUUGGAUGAAGCUUACAAGUUGGAUAAUCAAAGUACAAUUCACUUUUGAGGUUACAUCUAAAAUAGGAAAUAAU